CAGUAUUUUAGAUGCUACCUCCUGUGGACUGCCCAGGUAGAAUUCUUUCUUUCUUCUUCUGAAUUUGCAUAGUACUUUAUCCCUACUUCUCUUAUAAAUACCAUGGCUAUUUAUAAACAUUAUCCACUCCCUGGCAUAAGUUUCUUGAUAGCAAGAUAAAUACUGACUCACUAAAGAGCCAUCACUUUUUUAAAAAAUAAAUCACCCUAACUUAUAUGCAGAGAGUACAGAAUUUUAAAAGUAAAUCAAGAUUCUAGGUAGUUAAGAUAGAGAUCUAAAGAAUGGCCAUGAUAAAGAUGGCA